UUAAGUUAGUAAGGGCAUUUGGUGGAUGCCUUGGCAUAUGAAGGCGAUGAAGGGCGUGGUAAGCUGCGAUAAGCCUCGGGUAGGUGCAAACAACCUUUAAUCCGGGGAUUUCCGAAUGGGAGAACCCUUUCCGGGUAAUGCCGGAAAACUGCCACCUGAAUAUAUAGGGUGGUAAGAGUCAACGCAGGGAAGUGAAACAUCUCAGUACCUGCAGGAAAAGAAAACAAAAGUGAUUCCCAUAGUAGCGGCGAGCGAACUGGGAACAGCCUAAACCAAUAUAGUGUCAUGACUGUCAUUUUAGCUAUAUUGGGGUUGCGUGGAAUGACCAGAGGGUGUGACAGAACCUUCGGCGAGUCAGAAAACUUUUGCUUAGGAGAAUUGAAUCAGGAAAGGUUCAGCCAUAGAGGGUGAUAGCCCCGUAUCCGAAAAGCAUUGGUCUCGUUGGGUCAUUUUCUCAAGUAGGGCGGAACACGAGAAAUUCCGUUUGAAUCUGCCAGGACCACCUGGUAAGGCUAAAUACUCUCAUAUGACCGAUAGUGUAACAGUACCGUGAGGGAAAGGUGAAAAGUACCCCGAGAGGGGAGUGAAAUAGAACCUGAAACCGAAUGUCUACAAGCUGUCGAAGUCCGCAAGGACGACGGCGUGCCUUUUGCAUAAUGAGCCAGCAAGUUACUCGUAUCUAGCGAGGUUAAAUCUAUAGGGAUGGAGCCGUAGGGAAACCAAGUCUGAAUAGGGCGUAUAGUUAGGUGCGGUAGACGCGAAACCGAGUGAUCUUACCAUGGGCAGGUUGAAGCUCCAGUAAAAUGGAGUGGAGGACCGAACCGACUUGGGUUGAAAACCGAGCGGAUGACCUGUGGUAAGGGGUGAAAGGCCAAUCAAACUCGGUGAUAUCUCGUUCUCUCCGAAAUGCAUCUAGGUGCAGCGUUACGAUAUAGUAUCAUGGAGGUAGAGCACUGAAUGGGCUAGGGUCCUAAUCAGGGUACCAACCCCUAUCAAACUCCGAAUUCCAUUGAUAUGUUUCGUAGCAGUGAGGCAUUGGGUGAUAAGAUUCAAUGCCGAGAGGGAAACAACCCAGACCUACAGCUAAGGCCCCUAAAUUUUUACUAAGUGAUAAAGGAUGUAGAUUAGCACAGACAGCUAGGAGGUUGGCUUAGAAGCAGCCAUUCCUUUAAAGAAAGCGUAACAGCUCACUAGUCAAGGUAAUCUGCGCCGAUAAUCUCCGGGACUCAAGUAAAAUGCCGAAGCUUAGGAUUUCCGAUUUAUCGGAAGUGGUAGGAGAGCGUUCCAUCAACUGUCGAAGGCUGACCCGGGAGGGCAGCUGGAGGAAAUGGAAAUGAGGAUGCUGGCAUGAGUACGCGAUAAAACACGUUAAAUUCGUGUUCACCGUAAGCCCAAGGUUUCCUGAUCAAUGUAAAUCAGAUCAGGGUUAGUCGGCCCCUAAGGCGAGGCCGAAAGGCGUAGUCGAUGGAAAUCAGGUAACUUCUGAAUAUUCCUGAACCUCCGACCCUUAAACCGGGACACCCAUCUUCCAGACCUGUUUGUCUUAUUGAUUUGACACUCAGGAGUAAGAGGUGGCAAGAAAAAGCCCGGUGUAUGCUAAGGAGACCGUACCGUAAACCGACACAGGUAGGCGAGGAGAGAAUCCUAAGGUGCUUGAGAGAAUUCUGGUUAAGGAACUCGGCAAAAUAGCCCCGUAACUUCGGGAGAAGGGGUGCCCCGCUUUGGCGGGGCCGCAGUGAAAUGGGGGUAGCGACUGUUUACUAAAAACAUAGGUCUAUGCUAACACGUAAGUGGAAAUAUAUGGACUGACACCUGCCCGGUGCUGGAAGGUUAAGAUACUUUGUCAUUCAGACUUGUCUGAAGAAGCUCGGUGUUGAAGCCCCAGUAAACGGCGGCCGUAACUAUAACGGUCCUAAGGUAGCGAAAUUCCUUGUCGGGUAAGUUCCGACCU
rnacentral:rRNA from 1 species